GAUGAACGCUGGCGGCGUGCUUAACACAUGCAAGUCGAACGAAGCACUUUAUUUGAUUUCCUUCGGGACUGAUUAUUUUGUGACUGAGUGGCGGACGGGUGAGUAACGCGUGGGUAACCUGCCUUGUACAGGGGGAUAACAGUUGGAAACGGCUGCUAAUACCGCAUAAGCGCACGGCAUCGCAUGAUGCAGUGUGAAAAACUCCGGUGGUAUAAGAUGGACCCGCGUUGGAUUAGCUAGUUGGUGAGGUAACGGCCCACCAAGGCGACGAUCCAUAGCCGAGAGGGGGGGGGGACAGGCAACAUUGGAACGAAGCCACGGACAAACCCCGGAGGGGAGGCAGCGGGGGGGAAUAUAGCAAAAGGGGCGAAGGCGUAACAACGCCCCGCGGGGGGAGAAAGAAAGUUUUUGGUUAUAAAAAGCUCUAUCAGAAGGAAAGAUAAGGACGGUACCUGACAAAGAAGCACCGGCAAAAUACGUG
rnacentral:rRNA from 1 species